rnacentral:rRNA from 1 species
UACGAAGGGGGCUAGCGUUGUUCGGAAUUACUGGGCGUAAAGCGCACGUAGGCGGACAUUUAAGUCAGGGGUGAAAUCCCAGAGCUCAACUCUGGAACUGCCUUUGAUACUGGGUGUCUUGAGUAUGGAAGAGGUUAGUGGAAUUGCGAGUGUAGAGGUGAAAUUCGUAGAUAUUCGCAGGAACACCAGUGGCGAAGGCGGCUAACUGGUCCAUUGCUGACGCUGAGGUGCGAAAGUGUGGGGAGCAAACAGG